rnacentral:rRNA from 1 species
CCGAGUCUUAACUGGGCGUUAAGUUGCAGGGUAUAGACCCGAAACCCGGUGAUCUAGCCAUGGGCAGGUUGAAGGUUGGGUAACACUAACUGGAGGACCGAACCGACUAAUGUUGAAAAAUUAGCGGAUGACUUGUGGCUGGGGGUGAAAGGCCAAUCAAACCGGGAGAUAGCUGGUUCUCCCCGAAAGCUAUUUAGGUAGCGCCUCGUGAAUUCAUCUCCGGGGGUAGAGCACUGUUUCGGCAAGGGGGUCAUCCCGACUUACCAACCCGAUGCAAACUGCGAAUACCGGAGAAUGUUAUCACGGGAGACACACGGCGGGUGCUAACGUCCGUCGUGAAGAGGGAAACAACCCAGACCGCCAGCUAAGGUCCCAAAGUCAUGGUUAAGUGGGAAACGAUGUGGGAAGGCCCAGACAGCCAGGAUGUUGGCUUAGAAGCAGCCAUCAUUUAAAGAAAGCGUAAUAGCUCACUGGUCGAGUCGGCCUGCGCGGAAGAUGUAACGGGGCUAAACCAUGCACCGAAGCUGCGGCAGCGACACUGUGUGUUGUUGGGUAGGGGAGCGU